UGCUCUUCAGAUCUGCUAAUAAUAAAUUAGAUGAUUCACCCAUGUUAAGAAUAUAAAAGGUUUGAAUUUUCGGACAGUCGAAGAGAUUUUUGAGGAUGAUUAACUUAGAGCUAUGCUGUGCUGUGAUUACCAACCUCUGUCAUCCAAAAGGAUUGGGGUAGGGGUUCUGGCACUAAUGUCCAAUGAAAAGGGCUUCAGUGGGACCAGCCAUUUAGAUAGCUUUAUGUGAUUGAAGGGCAUAGUGGAUUUAUUUUAAUUAAUUAAUUGAUUGAUUAAUGUUUAUUGAGAUUUAUAUACAGUUACUAUUCACCUCUUUUUAGGUGAACAGUCCUAUGAGCUUUGAUAAACGUAUACAGUCAUGUUAAUAACACCACAUCAUUAUCCCCCAAAGUUCCCUGGUGCUGCUUUGUAGUCAGUUCUCUCCCCUUACUCAUAGCCACUAACACACACUAAUUUGAUUUGUGUCCCUAUAGUUUUGUCUUUUACAGAAUGUCAUAUAAAUAGAAUCAUAUAGUAUGUAGCUUUUCUCAUCUUCCUUCUUUCAAUUAACAUAUUACUUUUGAGAUUCAUUCAUGUUGUUUCAUACAUGAAUUUGUUCUAUUCCCCAGUUGAUAAAUUUGGGGGUUGCUCCCAGGUUUUGGCAAUUAUGAAUAAAGCUGUUUUAAGCAUUUGCUUAUAGAUCUCUUUUGUAAACAUGCCCUCAUUUCUCUUGAGCUAGGAGUGGGGUUUCUGGGACAAUAUGUUAAGUGUAUGUUUAACUUUAUUGGAUGGCUGUUUGACUCUACUUGGGAAAUCUGCAAGAUGGGUUGAUCAACAACUUUAGCAGCAGAAUGAAGGAAAGCUGUCUGUUCUCUCAGAGUAUGCUGGGGUAAGGAAUACAUGUGUGCUUACUGUAAACCGGAUAGCCUUUGUAUCAGUUAUAUAGUACUGCUAAAAAAGAAUAAGUAAAUAAAACAUACCCCAAAAUAUAGAAGCUUGAAAUAAAAACAAUAAUUUAUUUGCUUACAAUUGUGUGAUGUGGGCAGGGCUCAGGGCUGGCUUGUCUGUGUUGUGUUGGCUGGGCUGCCUCUGCUCUGUGUUGCUGAAAGAUUUAAAUUGUCAUUACUCCCAUACCUGGUACUUCAUCUGGCAUGGCUGGAACACCUGGGGUCUGGCUAAACCUCUCUCUCCAGCUGAAAAAUUGAACUAUUUUACAUGAUGACAGACUCCAAAAGGGUAAAAACAAAAACAAAACGAACAAAAAAUAAAACCCAGAAGCUGCAACAUCUCUUAAAGUCUAGGCCUGGAAGUCACAUAGCAUCACUUUUGCCACAUCUUAUUGGGACCAUCCUAUUUUCAAAAGGAAGGGAAAUAGACUCCAGUUCUUCAUGGGAGGAGUGUAAAACUCUCAUUGCAGGGCUUCCCUGGUGGCGCAGUGGUUGAGAGUCCGCCUGCCGAUGCAGGGGA